AUUCGAGUUGGAGAAGACGAACUUCCACCGUCUUGGGACCCUAUAUCCUCUCCUUUAGUUAGCAAUGGAUGUGGCACUAAGAGAUCACCUU